UGUGAAACAAAUAAAACCUUAGUUAAUAUAAAAUAAUAUAGCCAAUCAAAUAAUUGAACUUGUACAAAUUAUAAUUAUGCUGAAAUUACAGAAAAAAGAAUUAAUUAACCUCUCUAAACAUUAAUAUAGUUACAAACCCCAUAGUCACAUAAUGCAUUAAGGCAUUCCACUCCAACAAAAUUAAACAUGGCAAAACUAUAAUAUCAUCACCAUCCACCGUCAAUCAUUCUCAUCAAGAACAAGCAUCAAGCAACACGCAGAUGAAACCCCAAUGAUGUCAUCAUUCAUCAGCAUUAACUAGGCCAAUCAUUUAUCACCUCCAGGUCCAUCAAUUUAAGCUAAUUGGGCCUACCCAAAGUAGUACCUGGACCACUAUAGCUCGGCCCAGUACCUUUCCCUAAACCAACUCCACCUACCUGAUUAUAAAACCCACCAACGGUCCCGUACACGUGGCUCUGAUACCCAACAGCAUAACCCUCGACAGCAAACCCACCGCCAUUACCGGGAGCGUCCUUAUCACGCGCAACUGCAGUCUUCUCCCCUUCCAUUUCUCUAAACCUCUGCAAGUAAACCUUCAAAGGCUCGACGUAGUCUUCAAAGCCCAAAGUGGUCAUAGCCCAGAGGAGAUCAUCGCCGUUGAUGGUCUUCCUCUUCUCUCUCUGACACUUAUCGGAAGCUUCACCUGUAAUGAAGCUUAUGAAUUCAGAGACGCAUUCCUGAACG
rnacentral:misc_RNA from 1 species